GAUGAACGCUGGCGGCGUGCCUAAUACAUGCAAGUCGAGCGAAUGGAUUGAGAGCUUGCUCUCAAGAAGUUAGCGGCGGACGGGUGAGUAACACGUGGGUAACCUGCCCAUAAGACUGGGAUAACCCCGGGAAACCGGGGCUAAUACCGGAUAAUAUUUUGAACUGCAUGGUUCGAAAUUGAAAGGCGGCUUCGGCUGUCACUUAUGGAUGGACCCGCGUCGCAUUAGCUAGUUGGUGAGGUAACGGCUCACCAAGGCAACGAUGCGUAGCCGACCUGAGAGGGUGAUCGGCCACACUGGGACUGAGACACGGCCCAGACUCCUACGGGAGGCAGCAGUAGGGAAUCUUCCGCAAUGGACAAAGUCUGACGGAGCAAACGCCGCGUGAGUGAUGAAAGGCUUUCGGGUCGUAAAACUCUGUUGUUAGGGAAGAACAAGUGCUAGUUGAAUAAGCUGGCACCUUGACGGUACCUAACCAGAAAGCCACGGCU
rnacentral:rRNA from 1 species